AAUGGGACUAAGCGCACAAAAACUGUGCAGCAGCCUUGCCUUUACCUGAAGAUAUUGCAGGAAAAUCUGAUUUCUCUGUUAAAAUAAGAAAAUGCUGAAGCAAGUGACAUGAAAAAGCACACAUUAUUGCAUAGACAUGAAAACAGGGAAGGAAAAUAUUAGCUCAUAUAGUGGAUCUUGUAGAGCUGUUUGCCAGUGGUUUCCUUCUCUUUUCUUGAGCACCUGACUCAUCUGUAAGUACAAAGUUGAUUACUGUCUUUAUAUGGACAAGCCUCAGAUCAAUCUCUCUGUUCCAGAUCCAUCUGCUUGUGUCCAAAUGAAAUCUCAGCCUGGCUGUCUUGCAUUUCCUCUUGAUGUGUCAUCCUCAGCUCCAGUUCAAGGAAGAAAAAACUCAGCUGUUCAUUCUUCAUCACAACACUUAGCUGUUAAUCAACAAUCUCUCCCUCUUUUGGAGCAGCUCUGCUGUUCUUGUUUAUGUCCAGAGACCCACGAGGCAUAUUUUCAUCCCAUUUGCGCAAAUGAAGGUAAAUCACAGCUGCUAAGAAAAGGUGAGUUAAUUCUGAAUAUGAUCACCAGUAUAGGCAAUGCAAACUGAGAUAUAGUGGCAAGGCAGACAGGAGAAAUGACAAGUAUGGCAACUCACAGUCAUCUUUUUUUAGUCAUAUUUCAAAGAUUUCUGCCACCGUGAACCUGAAAGGAAACAUCUAUCAUUCCUAAAACUUUGUAUAAAGGUCUGGUCAUGAUGUCAGAAAUGUGUGGGUGUUUCAGGGAACCAACACAAUUCAAAGGACAGACAUUAAAAUACGUUUUUAACUAUGUGGGACCUGCUUCCCCACUCCCAUAUGUUUCAUAGAUCAAUAUUAGCUCCUCUGCAGUCAAUAAUGCUCACUGAUGUAAAACUGCUGUGUGCAUGUUCUUAAUGAUUCAUAGUUUUGAAGCCUAGCCAGUUCUAUAAUUCAACCCUCGCAAAGGCAAACAACCUCCUGCCAAUCUGCCCUUUAUUCUCCCAUCCUGUUAUUUGUUAGGCAUCUGUAGCCCAUUAACUGGCUUACUAUGGUAUUAGUAUGUGGUAUAAUUAUUCAUAGUCAGAUCUGCUGAUAAGAAAUCGAAUGCUCUGGUAAACAACUGACUGCUUUUUUUCCAUGACAUCAACAAUGAAGUUAAAUGGGGCACUGGAAAAAAGAUAAUUCCCAGGAUCAUGUUAAAAGAUUACGUAGUUCUGUAGCAGAAGGGAAAAUCUGUAUCCAGAGCACACAUUAGGAAUGUUCUCUGUCAUUUCCAGCAGACGCACAACAGUGUGUCUUCUGCUCUCACCAGGGACAUAUGAAUACACGUGGCUGAUGAGUACAUAUUGGGUCUGUCAGACUUAUAGAAGCAGGUGGGACUUCAUUCGGCUUUUCUGUGUGAUCACUGAUAUAUGGGGUUGCAAAAUGUAACUGCAAAAUUAAUAUCCAGUAUACAAUACAAAUGUUAAUCUCACCCACAGGGCACACAUAGUAGCAGUGAUAGAAAUACAUGCACGCACCUGAUCCAUGGGGACUUCUAUUCACCCUUGUCCUCUGUGCUGCUAUAGGCCCACAUCUGCCCAGGUCAGCACCUGGGACUCUGAACUGGUGGUUACACCUCCAGGGGUGGUCACAGGGCUGGCCAUAGAGGGAACCUACUUAAGCUCACCAUCUUCUGAAUAAAACCAGUUCCUCAGGUUACA
rnacentral:lncRNA from 1 species